rnacentral:lncRNA from 1 species
UCGAAGUCCUCAAUUCCUCAUCGCGUGGUAGAAAAAAAAGCCUGCAUCUGCCGCCUGUCAGGCAUUCGAAGAUAGUUAAAAUAAGGACUCUCAAUGCCUAGUUUUUUCAUUUGAAUUCAGUUUCUCUUCGAUAGUGCUUUCAGGAUGUCUGUGGAUAACUGGGUUGGCAUUUUGACAAGUCUAUGCUAUUGGCUCGUCCUUCAGUCCGUGAGGCUACAUUCUGGUCUGGUGAAUGAUUCAUGAUGGGUUGAUCCUCCAUUGCACGAGCAGUUGCAUGUGCCACCUGAUCAGUAAUUCAUGGUGUUGGCUUGAUGGUGUUUUAAGGGGACUGGUUUGGAAACACGUUGGUUCCCUUCACUGCCAAUCAGACUGGUGUCAUGCUGUCUAUUGAAAGCUGUGCUUUCUAUAUAUUAAAGGUAGGCUGAAAGAGGUACCUGGUAAUAAAGCUCUGGUUUUUUAUCAGGUUUGUGGUGAAUUGGUGAAGUUGCAGUAGACUACCAAUUGAGGCUGCAGGGAUAUGAAAUGCUGUGUUCAACCUAAUUCUGCAGGCUCUAAAGGUGCUCUUGUAUCAGCAAUUGAGGGUCGUUUUUAACGCGGCCCUAACAUGUUCGACGUCGUUUACUGUGGAAUUACGGGUGUUUUUGGUGUUGCCGGGUUUCCAGCUGGAAUUUUUCGUCCGUUUCUUCGCUGUUGUUGCCGUUAUACAGGGUUAGAUAUAUUGGCGUGGAAUUUUCGGAAUUGGUUGGUUUAAUCCAUUGGAUCAUUGAUUUAGCUGCCAUUCUUCGUUCUACUAAUGUCUAGAUUUCCCCUCGAUUUGUGCUUUGAUCCUUGGUAAAAUUUGCAGUUCUAUGCUUUGGGUUUGCCGUUGAAAGGUUCUGUCAGCAAUUGAUUGUCUAAUUGGGACAAUAUUGCCGAGGCGCUGACAUAUGCAAUGUCUUCUACUUUGUGAUUAUGGGUGAUUUGGUGUGGCCGGUUACCCAGCUGAAAAUUUUUUUCGGCUCUUCGCUGGCGUUAUCUAUAUCCUAUGUUUAGGAUUGUUAGUGAAUUCCAAUGGAUGAUCCAGUUUUGUGGUAUCGUUGACGGUGCGGUAUUCUUGGGUUGAAACCUUGAAGCAUAAUGCGUUCUCCCUCCCAUUGAUCACGUUGCUUGAAGGCGCUUUCAUUUUAUAUUAUGACUGUCAAGGUUGUCAUCGGUAUAAUAUUUUAAAGUCUAGCCCACGUCAUUGAAACAAUAGUAUUUCAAAAAUAUUUAAUUCUCCUUGAAAAUCGAGUCUGGUUUAAAAAAAUAAAAUUAAUAGAAUUUUAUUACGGAAAACUAUCAUAUUUGACAAUUAAACCAUAGUAUUAUUGAGAUACAUUAUACCACAAGUAAGAAUAAAAAUUCGUUAUUUUUCUCAACAAAUUCAUCUUCCUUAAAUUGACUAGUAAGUAGAAAUAUAGCUGUUCUAGAAAUAUGUAUUAUCUACAUAACACUUUUCUUUUCAAUAGGAAAGGAUUUGAUCAUUCUUGAACUAUAUCUAUCAAAGAUGCAAUGCUCUAAUGACAAAGACGACAAAGCUCGUGUUAUCUCCUUGUUGGUCAAUUGAGGCAGUGUCUCCUCCUGCCUUGGUUGACGGCAGCUUUAGAAUGGGUUAUUUUGUUCAUCUAAAGUUGCAAAUUAUUGAAUUGUAUUGAGAAAUGUCAAUACAAAUUUAAAUAAUUAAUAAUCAA